GCCAGCAGCCAUAUUACUCUGCAACUCAUAACUAGCAGCCCACUAAAACAAAGCAGGUGUGAGCCUGGUCAGUACCUGGAUGGGAGACCUCCAGGGAAAACCUAAGGUUGCUGCUGCAA
rnacentral:rRNA from 1 species